AUCGUUGGUGGUUCUAUCGCCUUCCUGCUUUUGCAGGAGGGAGGAAAGUCCGGGCAACAAAGGGCAUCCUGCUUCCUAACGGGAAGGAGCCCGAAAAGAAAUUUUCGGGUUACAGCAAGUGCCGCAGAAAAAAACCGUCCUGCAUUUGCGGGAUAAGGGUGAAAACGUGAGGUAAGAGCUCACGGCGUACGCAGCGAUGUGUGCGCGGGUAAACCUCAGGAGUUGAAAGACCAAAUAAGUCAGGGUAUGUCGCAAGACAAGAAGAGCGGCUCGCUCAAAUCCCUGGCGGGUAGGUCGAUGGAGGUGACACGCGAGUGUUAUCCCAGAUAAAUGAUAGAAACCCUGGUGUUUCAUCAGGGUACAGAACCCGGCUUACAAACAAAUGAUGUGC
rnacentral:RNase_P_RNA from 1 species